UACAAUAUUGCUCCCCAGUCUUUCUUAUAACAGCCAAAUUAUUGUUCUCAUUUUACCUGCAGGUGGUUGUAGCAUGUGCAGUGUUGCACAACAUAUGCAAUGGUGUAGGUGAUCUCUUGGAAGAUGGAGAUGUUCUACAGGACCACCAGUGGAUCAUGACUACUUUUUUGAGCCCUGAAUCCUGACACGGAGACUUUUUUGUGUUCUUCAGUUAAUAUUAAACUUUACUUGCCUUUACUUGUAAUAAUUGCUUUAAGGAGCUCAUUGAUUCGGCAUAAAAAUAGUACAUGUUAGCAAACUGCAUGAUUAUUAUCUUAAACUGUACAUUUUUGAAAUGGGCAUUACUUUCACAGUCACCUCUGAUAACAGAUCACUCUAAAUUGUGUAGACAUGUAUUUUCGGUAAAGCUGCUUUGAAACAAUAUGUAUUGUGAAAAGCGCUAUUCAAAUAAAUGUGAAUGUACACAGUUUUAAUCUGUUUAUUUAAUAUUGAACAAAUAUUUAUGCAAUAAAGUAUGUAUAUUUUAAAGGGUCAAGAAACAAAUAUUUGCAUUUGUUAUUCAGUAAUCUCCAUUACAGAAUAAUAUUUCUUCACAUUAAAGCAUAAAGAAACCAAUGGCAACAAAUGCCACAAUCACUAUAGGUUCACAGUAGUGAUGUAUAUUUAAGCUUACUGAAAAGAUAGUAACAGAAGUAGAUUAUGAAAAAUAUACAAAAUAAAUAUUAAAUUAUAAAAUACGAGAAUAAAAAGGAAAACUUCACUUUAUCUGAAUUAGGUUUUCUUUUCAAUUAAAUUUUUCAAAAAGAGAGAAAAAUCUUUCAUUUCUCUCCCCAGCCUCCCUUUCCCGUCUUUCCUCUGCUUCUCUUUGGUAAGCAAUAUCUUCUUUAAGCAGUGACAGAAAAUAAUCCUCCAUGCACCUCCUGGUUUUCUUGCCUCUGCUCUCUGUCUUGUCUGUUGUCUCUGUCCCUUCUUCUUCCAGCACAUUUGAGCUUGUUCCUGCUUUGUCCUCUUGGAUGGAAGAAAUUAGGACUGGGGGUGACACUGAGGCAGACUGCCCUAAUACCUCAUCCAUUAGCACAGUUGGUUUCCCAUCAUCGGUCCCCUGGCCAGAUGCAUGACAUUUACAAUCCUAAUGAGUACAGACAUGGCACGAUGUGAUGUGUCAGUAAGUUUAUAUGCUCAGUUGUUAUGAAACAAUUAAGCUAGGGUCUACAUAACAAUGAGAGAAAAAAAAAAAAAAAAAACUUAUAUUUCUUUAAAUUAUCCCACUUCUUUGCCUGGAGGGGGGUGACUGUGCCCUGGAGACCAUCUUCUCUAAGAUAAAUCUAGUCAAAAAUAGUAAAAAAUAUAAAUAUGUUAGUAAAAAUAUAAAUAUGUCUGUCCCAUCAUGCACCUAAAACAAAGGGCAACAACCAUUCAGAGCAGAGUUUCUUCCCCCUGUGAAGACACUGUCCUUUACUGCUCUGAAACGUAUAAAAGUCUCUGUUUGUUCUUUGGUCCCUGUCAAUGAACCAGAAGCCCAAUAAACACACUGUUGUUGUUAAUAAAUAGAAUGAAUUGUCAUUAUACUGCAUGACUGCAAAAAAAAAAAAAAAAAAAAAGAAUGAAUGAAUGAA